rnacentral:rRNA from 1 species
UACGGAGGGGGCAAGCGUUGUUCGGAAUUACUGGGCGUAAAGGGCGUCUAGGCGGCUAUUCAAGUCAGGGGUGAAAGCCCGGGGCUCAACCCCGGAACUGCCUUUGAAACUGGAUAGCUAGGGUUUGGUAGAGGUAAGUGGAAUACCCAGUGUAGAGGUGAAAUUCGUAGAUAUUGGGUAGAACACCGAUGGCGAAGGCAGCUUACUGGGCCAAUACCGACGCUGAAGCGCGAAAGCGUGGGGAGCAAACAGG